AACAAAUUGGUGGCCCCGAUCAUGCUAAACAUUGUGGGGGAGUGCUAGAACCAUGAGGUUAGCAUAACAGCAUAAACAAGAAGAAAUCAAACUCCUAAAGAUCCAUUCCCACUCCUUUCUCACAGUUAAGCAACUAUCUUUUCUCUUCCCCUUUAGGAAAUGGGAGGUACAGUCUCUGGAGAAAAUGAACUAUGGAAGCUUUGGACUUGGGGCCACCAAACACGGAAGAAGGUGUAGGGCAGGAGUCAGCAAAUUUUUUUCCGUAAAGAUCCAGAUGCAACAACGAAAACCUGGAAACCAUCCAAGCAUCCACCAAGAGGAGAAUGGAUAAAUAAAAUAUGUCGUGUCCAUAUGGUGGACUACUAUUCAGCAACAACAAAA
rnacentral:lncRNA from 1 species